rnacentral:misc_RNA from 1 species
ACAUACUCCUCAAGAGAACAAGAAUAUUGUUUGCUUAACUAAUUUACAGUCAGUGUAUGUGGUAGAGACGUAGUUUGAUGUGAUGUCGUCUGAUUUCAGGAGCUCCACCACCCUGUCCUCAGCCGCGGCCACAGAAACCUCCGACGACCAGCUGGAUGACCACAUCAAUGUUGUCCUCAGGGUCCGGCCUCUGAAUUCUCAGGAACAGAACAGGAAUGACACGUUUUGUGCACAGUUCCAUGGAGGGGGGCGGCUGGAGAUUCAAAAUUUUAACCAGCCCAAGCAGUUUGGGUAUAAUGUGGUGUUCGAGCCUGAGGCGUCUCAGGAGGAUGUCUUUGAUAACUCGGGGAUGAAGAAGCUUAUUGACAUGGCUCUGAACGGGUAUGCCUGCACUGCGUUAGCUUUUGGUCAGACAGGAAGUGGGAAAACACACACCAUGACUGGGCCACCACAACAGUUUGAGGGGGGUAAGCACCCUGACCCAGACAUGGUGGGGUUAAUGCAGCGCUCCUUUACCUACCUCCUCCAGCAGGCAGAGAGUGUGGCCGGCAACAAGGUCAUCAGGGCUUCCUACCUAGAAAUCUACAAUGAACAGGUGAUAGACCUGCUGAACCCCAACCAGAAGCGCUACCUCCAGGUCCGGUGGUCCAAGAACAAGGGCUUCUACGUGGAGAACCUGUUUGUGGCCGAGUGUGAGAGUGUGGAUGACCUGAUGGCAGUGCUAGAAGAAGGUAUGAGGAACAGACAGACAGGCUCACACGGCCUGAACGAGUUCUCCAGCAGAAGUCACAGCAUGUUGACCCUGACCAUCGACACAGAGCAACAGGAUCCAGACGAUGAAAACCUCUACCUGACCAAACGUGGGAAACUCACAUUUGUAGACUUAGCAGGCAGUGAAAAGGUGAAAGACUCUGAGUCUAGUGACAUGACCUUGAAAGAGUCCAACAAUAUCAACAGGAGUCUUCUGGUGCUAGGAAAUUGUAUAUCAUCACUUGGUGAUCCGAAAAAGAGGCAGGGUCAUAUUCCAUACAGGGACAGCAAACUCACAAAGCUUCUAGCAGACAGCUUAGGGGGUAACGGAGUGACUCUGAUGAUUGCAUGUGUUACCCCAUCUUCCCAUCAUGUUCAUGAGACUAUCAACACUUUACGCUAUGCCAGUCGAGCCAAGAAAAUUAAAACAAAACCCAUUGUCAAAAUGGACCCCAGAGAGAAGUUAAUUCUGAGUUUGAAGCGGGAGAUAAAGAUAUUGAGGAAUGAGAACGGAUACCUGAGGCAACAGCUAGAGUUUCCGGCAAAACCCAAAGGAGAGCUACAGAAAUCCAAUGACGAAAAAUUCAUGAAGUUUCUAAAGACACAAGGAAAAGAAACAAAUGAUCCAAAAACCAAUGUAAAGGGAGGUACUGAGGAAGGUCUCUAUGAGAUGUUGCAAGAAUACAUGAUAGAGAAUGAAUCUCUCAGGACAGAGAACUCCGAGAUGCAUCAAGCCAAAGACAAGGUUAAGCGAGAACAACAGUUGAUGUACAGAGAGAACGAGAGACUGACAAAGGUUAUUGAGAAACUGGAGAGAGAGAUAAAUGGUCGGUCGGGCGGUGGAAAUGGAGGCUGGCAGAGACAGCCCAAUGGACCCCCUCCCCAGAGACAGGUCAACGGGCCUCCCCCUCCCAGGCAGGUCAACGGCCCACCCCCUCCCAGACAGUCAGGUGGACCACCCCCUCACCAAAACCUUCCACCAGAGCAGUAUUAUGAUCAGGGACCACCCCCUCCCCGUCAGGGAGGGAACAAACCCCCACCAAACAACCAGUGGAAGGGGACACCACCUCAACGCCCAAUCAAUAACAGGCCUCCGCCGGAUCAAUAUAUUCCUGGCCCCUCUCCACAGGCUGGAAGGGGUAAACAGUCCACCCCUCCUGGAGGACCAAAGCGCCCACCUCAUCGGCUCGCUGAUCCCAUUGCAAGAACAGCCAAUAUUCCCCCAGAAUACAUUCAGAAUGGAAUUGGAGGUUACCCUGACGAUGGAUAUAUGUCACCAAGGGGACGACCUUCUCCUCUCCACAAUGGACCAAUCAGACAAGCCACCAAUAAGCAACAGAGAAUGGAGUGAGAAGGGAGAGUCACCAGCUCGCUACAAUGAUAGUCGCCGGUCUUCCCAAGUCUCCACUUCAGAUUCCAUAAGGAGUAUGAAUGCGAAGUUAAAACAAGAAAUUUAUGAUCUAGAGGGUGAAAUAGAACAUCAUCAUAAUGUGAACCAGCGGGCAAAAAGUAUAUACGGCUCUCAGGCCUCGAUGCGAUCCGGGCCUCGAUGACGAACUCCAAUUAUUCUGUGCUUUAAUUCCUUAACGAUACAGGCCAAAUACUUACAGUAUGGCAGAUAAAGUACAUUCAGUUUAUUGUAUACCAAAGAUUUUCCUGGAUCAUAUAAGGAUCUGGAUUCCUGUGGUAACUAGAUGUUUCCUUGGCAACCGGAGACACCGGGUCAGUCGGGAGACAAUGUCGGGGAUGUUCAUCAGUAGAGUAGAACAGAGACUUCAAAAUAAGGUUUAUCCCAGAUCCAUUCCCGCAUGGAGACUGUUCCAGUGUUGAGGAUGUCUGGAUACCACUUGUCAAAAUGAUUCCGCCCAUGGAUGUCUGGAUACCACUCGUCAAAAUGAUUCCGUCCAUAUUUAUUUUCAUUUUACAUACUUCAGACUGGGAGAGUGUCAAGGGACAUAACUUUGACAGAAUUGAUGUGAACUUAUCGAGGGCUUUCUUCAUAUUCCGUCCAUUUUAUAAGAUUACAUGUGAAGUUAUACAGGUACAUGUAAAUACUUGUAUACUUUAAGUUGUAAUUUUGUUGAGUUUUAUAAGUUUAUUCUUGUUAUUUGUGUUUUUAUACCAUUUUAAAAGAUUUGUUUAAAUUUUUGCAACUGGAGAAGAUAUGAUUGUAUUAUUGCUGCUCAGUAAAGAGUCUUUUUCAUACAUGUACACUUCACACUGUAAAUGUUCAUUUUGUUUAUAUGAAUGGGUGCUGAGUAGGCAGGAGUAGUGUCAGCUAAAUCACGAGGUAUAAAACAUGGAGAAUUAUUCCAAGAUAAACUUCAUGAAUCAUAUACUGUUGAAAGUCAAAUUUUGUUUCUGUUUGUUCUUGACUUUUAAAUACCAAGUAAUAAUCAAAAGUUCUCACUACAAAUACAUGUAUUUCAUUGUUAAGUCUUAUGAUCAGUACAUGUAUUAUAAGUGUACAACUAAUGUUCAGUAGUACAUGUACUUAAAUACCCACAUUUCCUGGACAGCAUGAUAAAUACAUGUAAUAAUGUAAGGCUCACAAAAGCCAGAUUGUAGUUUGAAUGGUCUGAGAGGUUGAUCACAUGUUGUCUUACUUCCAUUGUUUGAUUUGGCGAGUUAUUUAUUUAUGUGUGUAAGAUUGUUCAUCAGGUGCUGGUCAGGACUCUGACUUGGUGGUAUAUUAACAAUUGAAAUCUGGAUUUAUCACAAGACUUCACAGACUCAGCUAUGUGCUGUUAUUUAUAUCAGAUUCUUCAAAAUUAGAAUACAUCACAAGGAACAAUAAAAGAAUGAAA